AAGUAAUUGUUGCCAUAAAAAUUUUCCCAACUUACUACGUGGUAAUUCCAACCACAGAUGGCCGCCUUAGGAUUGAGCUUCCUUUUUGUUAGAUCCAACGAAGUUGAAAUUAUCCUUUAUACUUAUCUUAAUGGACUUUUGAAUCUUUUUUCUAAGAGCUCACUUCCUUAGGAGAUGAGGACGUCUUUGUCUGAUAAUGCUUUACAAACAUAAGAAACCGAUCAGAGGAUUGGCUUUACCAGUGUGGACUCUUUGACGGUUAAGUCAAUCAUGAGAUUUUUAAAAAUAUGAACUUAGAGAGAGAAAAUCAACAUUUCCCUUCUUGAGUCAAAUGUUUUUACCUUUCAAUGAGAGUAGAGACCAUAUUUACAAGCGAAAUUGAUUUAGCUUGAGUUCUAGUCACUUUGAUGACAAGUGUCAUUGUUCUUGUGACAUUUGGUGGUACUUGUCUUCUUGUGUGCAUUUUGAUUGACACAUGGGUAUGCAAGUUUAUCUACAUAUCAAAGGAGGAAGCGUUUUAAUUUUAGGUUGUUUUUCCUAAAAUCCUAGGAUCAUAGAAUCCUUAGAACCUAGGAGUUUAUCUUUGGAUAGAAUUGUAGGAACCUUAAAAUCUUUUGGGCCUUAGAAUCUUGUCACCUAGGAGGUUUAUCUUAGAAUAUAAUCUUAGGAACCUUGAAAUCUUUUGCACCUUAGAGCUUGGGCACCUAGGAGGUUUAUUAUAAGUAGUUUGUCUUAAGAUAAAAUCCUAAGAGCCUUUUGGGCCCUGGGGCCUUCCCACCUAAGUGAUUUAUCUUAGAUGGUUUGUCCAUCGCUUCAUCGACUUUAUAAUGACCAAAUUUAUUUGGGACUUAAAUGUGCUUAUUCUAUUUUUGGUCCAACAAU
rnacentral:lncRNA from 1 species